UGGGGACUCCACUUCCCGCGCUCCUCCGCGGGGCCCGGCAGAGACGGCCCCGGACGGGGGAGGGCUGGGAGCUGUGGCCGGUGGAACCGGCCGUCUGUGGGGCGUCCGCCGUUCUUGCCGGGGCCUGUCCUUCAGGAGGGCAGGGACCGGACUGGAAAGCGGGCUUGAGGACUCGAGGGCGAGGGCGAGGCGCGGCCCGUCGGGUGGGCCGGAGUGUUCACCGCGGUCCCCGCGCUCUCGGGGCGGCCCCAUGGCGGCCCGCGCCCUGGGCGCGCGGCUGUGGGCCCCGGCGGGCGCGCUGGCCGCGCUGGCCUGCUGUCUGCGCGCGCGGCGGGCGGCCCCGGGCGAGCUGCGCCCCGAGGCGCGCGGCCACCUGGAGCUGAAGCAGGUGCAGGUGGUGUUCCGGCACGGCGCGCGGAGCCCGCUGCGGCCGCUGCCCUGCGCGGGCCAGGUGAGCGGCUCCCGGCGGCCCCCCGCCCCGCGCU
rnacentral:lncRNA from 1 species